CUCUGUGUUUCAGAUGCUGCUUCCUGGAAAUCUGUAGUGGAGAAUCAAGCACAGAACAGUAGAAUCUGCAUUUGAAUCAUAGAAUCAUCAGGCCAGUACAUAGAAUCAUGUGGCAAGUGAAGAGCUGUGUUUGGGCAUAGGGAAUAGCUGAGGAACAUGGAAAACUGUAGUGUCUUUUUUGAGCAUCACUACUGAGUGAGAAUAUACCAGUGAAUUGAAAUUGCUCUGAGAACCCAGCUGACAGAUGUCAGUGUGGGUUAAGGUAAAAUUGGAGACUGGAAAGCUUGAGCUUGAGACUGGCUUUUGAGGUGCCAGGCUGCUGUGUUGAGUUCUGAGAGAAGGAUGAGAAGGCGUAAGAACUAACAUCUAUCAUCUCCCUGAAAUAUGCCGAUGUGACAGCUUCUUGGGCUGAAAAUGCACGCUUCUGGUAGAAGUCUUCUGACAGGAGAGGCAAGCAGUUUGUCACUUAAAACCAGCACAAAACAAAACUGCCUCAGAAUAUUGUUCUGUGUUGUUGUUUUAUGAAGAAAGUAGGUGGGUUAUUGUUCACAAUUGCUGACUGGACUGUGUUCUGUUGUUUGCAAGCCAGAACAAAAAUUCUUUUGCUUAGUUUAGCCCCUAAAACUCAGAAGUACCCUUAGAAAAUUUACAUUCCAAAGAUUUGCUGUUCAGAGCACUGCUGAAACAAAAUAUUCAAGGUGGAAGUGAAUUAGAAAACUGGCAAUAUCCAUUUAGAAGAAAAUACUAGUAGAACCUUAAUUAUGGAAUGUCUUUUCGCACCUCUGUGCUAGUUUGUACUUCACAGUGCCCUUUAUCCAGGCACCUGGGAGGACUGUUCUAGCAGGAAUUACUUAACCCUCUCUAUGGUAGAAUAAUUCUUCAGGCAGUUGAAGCCCAUAUGCUCUCAUCCAAGUGUUUUCCAGUAGAUGAGUUUUGUGGACCUAAAUAAAAGUAACUUGCUCCUCUGGAGCUUUGUUGUGGUUGUAUGUUUUGAAUGGAUCCGUUUGAUGCAGACUUCUUGUGUUGGGUCCAUUUUGCAGACUAUGUGCCUUACAGGUGAAGUUGAAAUUUUAUUUUUUGUGGUGUUGGUGUGAGUUUUGCCAUGAUGACUGCAGACCUAAUACGAGCAGAAAAGAAAGCUGACAUCAAUAGUUUUUCUGGGUGGUGGUAGCUGAGGUUGAUUAAAAAUAAAUAAAUAAAUAAAAAUCUUCAAUAAUUCUGAUCUGUGUUCUAGAAAAUUGAUUACUUUGUGAGAACCUUAUCAAAAUUGCAUCUUCUAAUUAAACAGCAUGAUGUAAUCUCUCAAAGUGAUUGGGAUGUUCACUGCCUUGUCUUUGUGUUUAUGAACUAUUUCUGAAACUAUUUUCUGACUCCUUUAUGGAG